rnacentral:rRNA from 1 species
AGCGAACGCUGGCGGCAGGCUUAACACAUGCAAGUCGAGCGGGUGUAGCAAUACAUCAGCGGCAGACGGGUGAGUAACGCGUGGGAACGUACCUCUUGGUUCGGAACAACACAGGGAAACUUGUGCUAAUACCGGCUAAGCCCUUACGGGGAAAGAUUUAUCGCCGAAAGAUCGGCCCGCGUCUGAUUAGCUAGUUGGUAGGGUAACGGCCUACCAAGGCGACGAUCAGUAGCUGGUCUGAGAGGAUGAUCAGUCACAUUGGGACUGAGACACGGCCCAAACUCCUACGGGAGGCAGCAGUGGGGAAUAUUGGACAAUGGGGGCAACCCUGAUCCAGCCAUGCCGCGUGAGUGAUGAAGGCCCUAGGGUUGUAAAGCUCUUUUGUGCGGGAAGAUAAUGACGGUACCGCAAGAAUAAGCCCCGGCUAACUUCGUGCCAGCAGCCGCCGUAAAAA